CAGUCGAACGAAGCACUUUAUUUGAUUUCCUUCGGGACUGAUUAUUUUGUGACUGAUUGGCGGACGGGUGAGUAACGCGUGGGUAACCUGCCUUGUACAGGGGGAUAACAGUUGGAAACGGCUGCUAAUACCGCAUAAGCGCACGGCAUCGCAUGAUGCAGUGUGAAAAACUCCGGUGGUAUAAGAUGGACCCGCGUUGGAUUAGCUAGUUGGUGAGGUAACGGCCCACCAAGGCGACGAUCCAUAGCCGACCUGAGAGGGUGACCGGCCACAUUGGGACUGAGACACGGCCCAAACUCCUACGGGAGGCAGCAGUGGGGAAUAUUGCACAAUGGGCGAAAGCCUGAUGCAGCGACGCCGCGUGAGCGAAGAAGUAUUUCGGUAUGUAAAGCUCUAUCAGCAGGGAAGAUAAUGACGGUACCUGACUAAGAAGCACCGGCUAAAUACGUGCCAGCAGCCGCGGUAAUACGUAUGGUGCAAGCGUUAUCCGGAUUUACUGGGUGUAAAGGGAGCGCAGGCGGUGCGGCAAGUCUGAUGUGAAAGCCCGGGGCUCAACCCCGGUACUGCAUUGGAAACUGUCGUACUAGAGUGUCGGAGGGGUAAGCGGAAUUCCUAGUGUAGCGGUGAAAUGCGUAGAUAUUAGGAGGAACACCAGUGGCGAAGGCGGCUUACUGGACGAUAACUGACGCUGAGGCUCGAAAGCGUGGGGAGCAAACAGGAUUAGAUACCC
rnacentral:rRNA from 1 species